CACGCCUUCUUUGUGUUCAUGUUGCCAAAUGGCUUGAAAACGGUCUGAAGGCUCCUAAAUGAUUUAUGCCAUAAGUAACCUAUUAGAGGCUUUUGCCGAAAAGCUGAGGAAAGAGAACUUUUUCUGGAACACCAAGAUUUUCCACAAGAUUGUUUCCUUUCCUCAACAGGUAAUUCUUUCCCUCGGCCGUCGAAAAUGGGGACAGUAGUCUAAGAACGGAAUAACGGUCAGUGUGUUGUAAUUAGAGAACACAAGUUCAACAGAACUGCCGUCCGGUUAGAAAAAAAAGAUGAGUUACUUUACAGAAUUCUUCAAGUGUUAGGUUAAAAGGUGGUUUCCUUUUGAAAGUGUCUGGAAAUCAAAUGGCCUAGGUUAUUACACAUUUAACUAAGUUUGAAUUCGACAAAGACUAUCCAUUGGGAUAUGUAUUAUAGAAGCGAGCUGCCCGGCUCAAAUAACUUAUUUUUCAUUACCACUACCAGGAAGCAAAAUGACCACGCAAUUUUCGGCAUAUGCUACCUUUGCACAGAAGGACCUUUAGCAAAUAACUGAAUGUCCGGGUCUUGGCUUGCUCAUAAAAGUAAAUGGCCUAAUCAGAUGUUCCUCUGGAACCUUCUGAGAUUUACCAUUUGGUGAUUUUACCACCUUAUUCCAAAUAAAGAAGCAAGAACAGGAAACUUCUGAUUUUACUGUGAGAUUUCUGUCUGAAUAACUGGGAAGAUUUGGUAAAAGAAAUCUUAUUUGUAA